CCUACGGGGUGCAGCAGUGAGGAAUAUUGGUCAAUGGGCUUACGCCUGAACCAGCCAAGUCGCGUGAGGGAAGACUGCCCUAUGGGUUGUAAACCUCUUUUGUCAGGGAGCAACGCCGGCUACGUGUAGCCGGACUGAGAGUACCUGAAGAAAAAGCAUCGGCUAACUCCGUGCCAGCAGCCGCGGUAAUACGGAGGGGGCAAGCGUUAUCCGGAUUUACUGGGUGUAAAGGGAGCGUAGACGGUAUGGCAAGUCUGAAGUGAAAGCCCAGGGCUUAACCCUGGGACUGCUUUGGAAACUGUUAGACUAGAGUGCUGGAGAGGUAAGUGGAAUUCCUAGUGUAGCGGUGAAAUGCGUAGAUAUUAGGAGGAACACCAGUGGCGAAGGCGGUCUGCUGGACAGCAACUGACGCUGAGGCGCGAAAGCGUGGGGAGCAAACAGGAUUAGAUACCCGUGUAGUC
rnacentral:rRNA from 1 species